UGGUGGAGUGAUUUGUCUGGUUAAUUCCGUUAACGAACGAGACCUCGACCUGCUAAAUAGUUUAGCAAAUUCUUCGGGAUUUGUGUAGACUUCUUAGGGACUUUAGAUGAGCAGUCUAAGGAAGUUCGAGGCAAUA
rnacentral:rRNA from 1 species